rnacentral:rRNA from 1 species
AUGGGGACCAAGAGGAGCGUGGGCACCCUGGGCGAGAAGGACCUCAGCGGGAAGAAGGUGCUCCUCCGCGCCGACCUGAACGUGCCGCUAGACGACGGCCAGAGGAUCGCCGACGACAACCGCAUCCGCGCCUCCGUCCCCACCAUCAAGUUCCUCAUGGGGAAGGGCGCCAAGGUCGUCCUGGCCAGCCAUCUGGGCCGGCCAAAAGGGGUCACCCCGAAGUACAGCUUGAAGCCUCUUGUUCCACGCCUGUCUGAGCUUCUUGGAGUGGAUGUUGUGAUGGCCAACGACUGCAUCGGUGAGGAAGUUGAGAAAUUAGCUGCUGCUUUACCAGAUGGAGGUGUUCUACUUCUAGAAAAUGUGAGAUUCUACAAGGAGGAAGAAAAGAAUGACCCUGAGUUCGCCAAGAAACUAGCAUCUGUUGCUGAUCUUUAUGUAAAUGAUGCCUUUGGCACUGCACAUAGAGCACAUGCUUCAACAGAGGGAGUUACCAAGUAUUUGAGGCCUGCUGUCGCUGGAUUUCUUAUGCAGAAGGAACUUGACUAUCUUGUUGGAGCUGUUGCCAACCCGACAAAGCCAUUUGCUGCAAUUGUUGGUGGAUCCAAAGUGUCAACUAAGAUUGGGGUGAUCGAGUCUCUUUUGUCGAAGGUUGACAUCCUCAUCCUUGGUGGCGGUAUGAUUUACACAUUUUACAAGGCCCAGGGGCAUGCUGUCGGAAAAUCUCUUGUGGAGGAAGACAAGCUUGAACUGGCAAACUCGCUUAUUGAGAAGGCCAAGUUGAAGGGGGUCUCUCUUUUGCUUCCCACUGAUAUUGUAGUAGCUGAUAAUUUUGCUGCAGAUGCUGAGAGCAAGAUUGUUCCUGCCUCUGCUAUUCCUGAUGCUUGGAUGGGUCUUGAUAUUGGCCCGGAUUCUAUCAAGAAAUUCAGUGAAACUUUGGACACUAUCAAGACUGUCAUCUGGAAUGGACCGAUGGGAGUUUUCGAAUUUGAGAAGUUUGCUGCUGGCACUGAUGCAAUCGCGAAAAAGUUGGCUGAUAUCACAGCAAAAGGCGUAACAACCAUCAUUGGCGGUGGCGACUCUGUUGCUGCCGUCGAGAAGGCUGGUUUGGCGAGUAAGAUGAGCCACAUUUCGACAGGAGGUGGCGCAAGCCUGGAGCUGUUGGAAGGCAAGACCCUCCCAGGCGUCCUUGCUCUCGACGACGCAUAG